rnacentral:rRNA from 1 species
CCUACGGGUGGCAGCAGUAGGGAAUCUUCCACAAUGGGCGCAAGCCUGAUGCAGCAACACCGCGUGAGUGAAGAAGGGUUUCGGCUCGUAAACCUCUUUUGUUGGAGAAGAUCGUGCGUGAGAGUAACUGUUCACGCACUGACGGUAUCCAACCAGAAACUCACGUCUAACUACGGGCCAGCAGCCUCGGUAAUACGGAGGUGGCAAGCGUUCUCCGGAUUUAUUGGGCGUAAAGCGAGCGCAGGCGGUCGAGUAGGUCAGAUGUGAAAGCCUUCGGCUUAACCGAAGAAGUGCAUCGGAAACCGGGCGACUUGAGUGCAGAAGAGGAAAGUGGAACUCCAGGUGUAGGGGUAGAAUGCGUAGAUAUAUGGAAGAAUACCAGUGGCGAAGGCGACCGUCUAGUCUGCAACUGACGCUGAGGCUCGAAAGCAUGGGUAGCGAACAGGAUUAGAUACCCGAGUAGUC